AAAAAACAAAUUAAAAUCGAGAAAAACAUCUCCGGUGAAUAAUGUCUUCAAAAUUCCUCAUUUGCAAUCCUAUUAUGAGCAUUAAAAAUGUUAAAACCUUAAGGCAUAUUAAUCACAUGACGUAAGUGAAUUGUAAAAAAAAUGCAUUACCUCAUUCUGACAAUAUCCAACAUCACUCUCCACAUGGUUUUAAAGGGCUUCAAGUCGGCAACCGAGUUAAACAAUGC
rnacentral:lncRNA from 1 species